UACAGAGGGUGCAAGCGUUGAUCGGAAUUACUGGGCGUAAAGCGCACGCAGGCGGUGCUGCGCGUUUGGGGUUACAGCUCCCGGCUCAACCGGGAGAGCGCCUCGAAGACGGCAGCACUUGAGGGCCAGAGAGGGACACGGAACUCCGGGUGGAGUGGUGAAAUGCGUAGAUAUCCGGAAGAACACCAAAGGCGAAGGCAGUGUCCUGGCUGGUACCUGACGCUCAGGUGCGAAAGCUAGGGGAGCGAACGGG
rnacentral:rRNA from 1 species